rnacentral:RNase_P_RNA from 1 species
GAAGCUGACCAGACAGUCGCCGCUUCGUCGUCGUCCUCCUUCGGGGGGAGACGGGCGGAGGGGAGGAAAGUCCGGGCUCCAUAGGGCAAGGUGCCAGGUAACGCCUGGGGGGUGUCACAGCCCACGACCAGUGCAACAGAGAGUAAACCGCCGAUGGCCCGCGCAAGCGGGAUCAGGUAAGGGUGAAAGGGUGCGGUAAGAGCGCACCGCGCGGCUGGUAACAGUCCGCGGCACGGUAAACUCCACCCGGAGCAAGGCCAAAUAGGGGUUCAUAAGGUACGGCCCGUACUGAACCCGGGUAGGCUGCUUGAGCCAGUGAGCGAUUGCUGGCCUAGAUGAAUGACUGUCCACGACAGAACCCGGCUUAUCG